GAUGAACGCUGGCGGCGUGCCUAAUACAUGCAAGUCGAGCGAACAGACGAGGAGCUUGCUCCUCUGACGUUAGCGGCGGACGGGUGAGUAACACGUGGAUAACCUACCUAUAAGACUGGGAUAACUUCGGGAAACCGGAGCUAAUACCGGAUAAUAUAUUGAACCACAAGGUUCAAUAGUGAAAGACGGUUUUGCUGUAACUUAUAAUUGGAUCCGCGCCGCAUUAGCUAGUUGGUAAGGUAACGGCUUACCAAGGCAACGAUGCGUAGCCGACCUGAGAGGGUGAUCGGCCACACUGGAACUGAGACACGGUCCAGACUCCUACGGGAGGCAGCAGUAGGGAAUCUUCCGCAAUGGGCGAAAGCCUGACGGAGCAACGCCGCGUGAGUGAUGAAGGUCUUCGGAUCGUAAAACUCUGUUAUUAGGGAAGAACAAAUGUGUAAGUAACUAUGCACGUCUUGACGGUACCUAAUCAGAAAGCCACGGCUAACUACGUG
rnacentral:rRNA from 1 species